UAAUUGUCGUGCGGGCGAACUAUUAUUUUGUAUCUGCAGCCUACACGUAUUGCUCGUUUGUAGUCAAUAAAAUUCCGAGAAAAAAAAAAAUAAGAAAAAUGUCGGAAUAAUAUUAAGUUUCCGAUUGAUAAAAUGUUUGAAAAAUAACGUAUCUAAACGAGAGUGAAUCGUGGGAUCGAAUCAGUGCCGCAGUAGUAUAGAGUUUGUAAAACGGCCGAAGUAAUUGGUGCCCGCGCGAAUCGCCGUCGUCCAUAUAAUACGUACAUACGAACUACACUUGUGGAACGAAAGUCAAAAUAAAAAUCGAAUUUUCCCGUUUAUUCGUUCCGAAAGAACAACAGUGACGACCGCGGUGUAAUGUUAAAGUACGCGUUUUUUAUAUUGCCCGGGAUGGCGUUGUCAGCGUCGGCUUCAAUCAUCAAACGUCCCGUCGACUACGACGGAGCCGAAUCUGCCGCGGCCGGCGUCCCUACACACCAGGGACGUACAGAUCAGUACACAAUUAGUGUACUUUUUUUAAUGUACUCUUAGUGUACUUUAAUUAGUGUACGAUUUCAGAAUUAUCAGUUUUUGAUUUUUUCACAACAUAUAUCAUGUUGUUAAUAAUUUUUUCGUUUGUGUUAAUUAUAUAUGAAAUAGAUAAUUAUAGAUUAUAUUUUAGACAAUUAAUAAGACGUCUAUAAUCCGUGUUGUCUCUCAUCUCUUAUUACAAUCCUAUUACAAAUUAGUCGUAUUUUUCCCCUUU